CACGUAGGGGGGCAAGCGUUGUUCGGAUUCAUUGGGCGUAAAGGGUGCGUAGGCGGCGCGGUAAGUCGGGGUGUGAAAAUCUCGGAGCUUAACUCCGAAAACUGCAUUCGAUACUGCCCGUGCUUGAGGACUGGAGGAGGAGACUGGAAUUUACGGUGUAGCGGUGAAAUGCGUAGAUAUCGUAAGGAAGACCAGUGGCGAAGGCGGGUCUCUGGACAGUUCCUGACGCUGAGGCACGAAGGUCAGGGGAGCAAACGGG
rnacentral:rRNA from 1 species